CAGCCGCCGCGGGAAAACAGAGGGUGCGAGCGUUAAUCGGAUUUACUGGGCGUAAAGCGUGCGUAGGCGGCUAAUUGAGUCGGAUGUGAAAUCCCCGAGCUUAACUUGGGAAUUGCAUUCGAUACUGGUUAGCUAGAGUGUGGGAGAGGAUGGUAGAAUUCCAGGUGUAGCGGUGAAAUGCGUAGAGAUCUGGAGGAAUACCGAUGGCGAAGGCAGCCAUCUGGCCUAAUACUGACGCUGAGGUACGAAAGCAUGGGGAGCAAACAGGAUUAGAGACCCCUGUAGUCCCUGUCUCUUAUAC
rnacentral:rRNA from 1 species